CUCUGACGCAGCCACGCCGCGUGCCGGAAGACGGUCCUAUGGAUUGUAAACGGCUUUUGCCAGGGAAGAACCAUCUCGAUUCGUCGGGAUCUGACGGUACCUGGUGAAUAAGCACCGGCUAACUCCGUGCCAGCAGCCGCGGUAAUACGGAGGGUGCAAGCGUUGUCCGGAAUCAUUGGGUGUAAAGGGUGCGUAGGCGGAUCUUUAAGUCUGGGGUGAAAUCCUGCGGCUCAACCGUAGAACUGCCUCAGAUACUGGAGGUCUUGAGUAUGACAGAGGUCGGCGGAAUUCGUAGUGUAGCGGUGAAAUGCAUAGAUAUUACGAAGAACACCAGUGGCGUAGGCGGCCGGCUGGGUCAUAACUGACGCUGAGGCACGAGAGCGUGGGGAGCGAACAGGAUUAGAUACCCUGGUAGUCCACGCUGUAAACGAUGUAUGCUAGGUGUCGGUCCCUUUUGGGAUCGGUGCUGCAGCUAACGCAUUAAGCAUACCACCUGGGGAGUACGUUCGCAAGAAUGAAACUCAAAGGAAUUGACG
rnacentral:rRNA from 1 species